GUCCCGACAGUAAACGUUGGACACUAGGUGUUGGGGGUCGACCCCCUCAGUGCCGCAGCUAACGCAUUAAGUGUCCAGCCUGGGGAGUACGGCCGCAAGGUUGAAACUCAAAGGAAUUGACGGGGGCCCGCACAAGCGGUGGAGUAUGUGGUUUAAUUCGACGCAACGCGAAGAACCUUACCUGGGUUUGACAUGCACGGGACCGAUGCAGAGAUGUAUCUUCCCCUUCGGGGGUCCUGCACAGGUGCUGCAUGGCUGUCGU
rnacentral:rRNA from 1 species